AUAUUCCCUGUUGGUUGAUAAAUGUUCAUAUAUAUUUAUGGAUUGGAUAUGAAUAUGUUAAGAUACAAUCACUAAAAGUAUUGAUAAAAUGUUAAUUUCGCUACAUUUCACCUUUUUCUGUUUUUUUUCAGUGUGAAUAUUGCCACUAUACAUUGGAUCUACCCUUCGCAUUCUUGCCGUUUAAGUGAUUCUUGGAAUUACAUGGGAUCCACAUCAUUACCUGAAUUGUAGGACUUGUUCAUGUGAAUAUUAGUUCGCUUCAAAGAAAGAGGAAGUGGAAGGCACCACAG